GGAAGUAAAAGUCGUAACAAGGUUUCCGUAGGUGAACCUGCGGAAGGAUCAUUAACGAUUGCUCUGCACAUGCAAAAAAUGACAAACAAAAAGUAUGGUUUUUGGCUGGAUUAAACUCCUGACGAGUUCAGGAAGGAUAUGAUAUGCCUCUCUCUCUUUCUCGCAAGCGCGAAGAAAGAAAUGGCCAUCGUGGUCGCUGUGCGUCUCUUCGCUGCGAACGAUGUAAAACAAACAACCUAUGGCCUCUCAUAAAGUAUAAUAUCGUUCGCCAUGGUAUACAGGCCUGGCAUCUGGUACGAGUCUCUCGCAGUCUCAAAACCAACCUUACAACUCUGAGCGGUGGAUCACUUGGCUUGUGGAUGCUAUGAAGACCAUAGCUAAGUGUGAGAAUGGCAGCGAGCCGUCGCUAUAUGCGCUGUCCUCUUCUUAUCACAUGUUGAAUGCACAUUGCGCCCCACCCAGCGGUCGGCUAAACAACCUGCAGACAAAAGCCUGUUUAGUUGGAACAAAGGCGAGUGUGUGGCCCUCGAGCAACGGCGGGGGAGCCAGGAGCACAUUGGCGUGCGGACCAACUACUCGUGAGUAGUCAGGCUGAACCCUAUGGUGGGGCACUCCUAGUCGAGUGUGGUGGAUCGGACUCACAUCUCCUGCUGGAGUUUGAGUUUCUUUGUUGCUGGUGGCAUUUGGGUCGACAUCAGUCGUGCCCGUAAACAACUGCCUUGGCUCGUGCCUCUGUGCGUUUUACCUCCCGCAGGUGCGUACAUUGAAGGCCAUAGCUGGCGAUCACUCUUGCGGCCAGGGCACUACCUUUUGCCAUGCGAUUCACAUGCAUGGCGGUAGGGCGCAAAGGUCCAAAAGGAUAUGGAAAUACGAGAGUGUCGGGUCUCUGAUACUCUAGCCCGUUGCACACAGUGUAUGGAGUGGUGAUAUGGUAUCCCUGCGUAUACGCUUAUCUGGUAAAGGUUCGUCUCUCGUAAUAUUCGAGAUUGACAAGCCUCACCUCUUUUUUCACACACACACACGCACGCACAAAAAGGCAAGCGCACGCGCGCAUACAAAAAUGCUGGCUGGCUGGAUGAUGAUGACUGACGAGGACAAGCAAAAAGAAAAGAAACGCCUGACGAGAUCAGGACUGAUUUUCUGAGGACCCCCAGUGUGUGUGAAAAAAGUAACAGAUCGGCCUGCAGUAUCGCUCCACUCUGCUAUAGUACCUGUGUGCCCGUUUGGUAUGAGAGAGACCUGCCUGCUCGUGUUGGUAAUAGCCACCACCUCGACUUAGGAGAGGUUACCCGCUGAACUUAAGCAUAUCAGUAAGCGGAGGAAAAGAAACCAAUCAGGGAUUCCCUUAGUAGGGGCGACCGAAAAGGGAUGAGCCCAGCGCAGAACCUCCCGGGCCACCCGGCCUGCGGCGGAAUGUUGCGUUAAGGGAAAGGUCGUAGUCAAACCCCACAGCCACGCGAGCGCUAAGUAAGUCACGAAUUGGCUAUCCCAACUAACGGCGGGAAAAUCUCCACGGAGGGUGUAAGACCCGUGUGGGCGCGUGUAAAUGCUGUGUGGGCUCGGCCUCUUUUCCCUGAGAGUCGCGUUGCUUGAGCAUGCAGCGCUAAGCAGGUCGUAAACUCGAUCUAAGGCUAAAUAUGUCCACAAGACCGAUAGCGAACAAGUACCGUGAGGGAAAGUUGAAAAGCACUCUGAAGAGAGAGUCAAAAGACCGUGAAACCGCUCAGAGU
rnacentral:rRNA from 1 species